GAUGAACGCUGGCGGCGUGCCUAAUACAUGCAAGUCGAGCGAACAGACGAGAAGCUUGCUCCUCUGACGUUAGCGGCGGACGGGUGAGUAACACGUGGAUAACCUACCUAUAAGACUGGGAUAACUUCGGGAAACCGGAGCUAAUACCGGAUAAUAUAUUGAACCGCAUGGUUCAAUAGUGAAAGACGGUUUUGCUGUCACUUAUAGAUGGAUCCGCGCCGCAUUAGCUAGUUGGUAAGGUAACGGCUUACCAAGGCAACGAUGCGUAGCCGACCUGAGAGGGUGAUCGGCCACACUGGAACUGAGACACGGUCCAGACUCCUACGGGAGGCAGCAGUAGGGAAUCUUCCGCAAUGGGCGAAAGCCUGACGGAGCAACGCCGCGGGAGUGAUGAAGGUCUUCGGAUCGUAAAACUCUGUUAUUAGGGAAGAACAAAUGUGUAAGUAACUGUGCACGUCUUGACGGUACCUAAUCAGAAAGCCACGGCUAACUACGCG
rnacentral:rRNA from 1 species